rnacentral:lncRNA from 13 species
AUGGCCGCAUCGCUUCGCGUUCCUAGGAAACUAUGCAGUUUUUUGUUUUUUUACGUGUUAUUUCUUACAUUGGUACCCCGGGUCAUCUUAGGUUUCAUUACAUACAGUCGAGAAGAACUACUGAACAUAAGAGCAGCGUCAACUCACCAUCAGUACGACCAAGAAUAUGACUUUCGCGAAGUGGACCCUGUGUUCUGCCUUUCACCCAGGACAACGGAAUGGAUCCCAGCCAGCGACCCCAAAAAACGACUUCGAAAAAGGGGAAAACAAAGCGGUCUUCUGGUCAGACUCCGGAGACGGGCACAUCGUGCACCACUCCCUAGCAUUCUCCUCGCCAAUGUCCAGUCUCUUGACAACAAGGUUGAUGAAAUCCGAGCAAGGGUAGCAUUCCAGAGGGACAUCAGAGACUGUAACGUUCUUUGCUUCACGGAAACAUGGCUCACUGGAGAGACGCUAUCGGAGGCGGUGCAGCCAGCGGGUUUCUCCACGCAUCGCGCCGACAGAAACAAACAUCUUUCUGGUAAGAAGAGGGGCGGGGGCGUAUGCUUUAUGGUUAACGUGACGUGGUGUGGCCAAAACAACAUACAGGAACUCAAGUCCUUCUGUUCACCUGAUUUAGAAUUCCUCACAAUCAUAUGUAGACCGCAUUAUCUACCAAGGGAAUUCUCUUCGAUUAUAAUCACAGCCGUGUAUAUUCCCCCCCAAGCAGACACAUCGAUGGCUCUGAACAAACUUUAUUUGACUCUUUGCAAACUGGAAUCCAUAUAUCCGGAAGCUGCAUUCAUUGUAGCUGGGGAUUUUAACAAGGCUAAUCUGAAAACAAGACUCCCUAAAUUUUAUCAGCAUAUCGAUUGCGCAACCAGGGCGGGAAAAACCUUGGAUCAUUGCUAUUCCAACUUCCGCGACGCAUAUAAGGCCCUGCCCCGCCCUCCUUUCGGAAAAGCUGACCACGACUCCAUUUUGUUGAUCCCUGCCUACAGACAGAAACUAAAACAAGAAGCUCCCGCGCUGAGGUCUGUUCAACGCUGGUCUGACCAAUCUGAUUCCACACUCCAAGACUGCUUCCAUCACGUGGACUGGGAUAUGUUCCGUAUUGCGUCAGACGACAACAUUGACGAAUACGCUGAUUCGGUGUGCGAGUUCGUUAGAACCUGCGUUGAAGAUGUCGUUCCCAUAGCAACGAUUAAAACAUUCCCAAACCAGAAACCGUGGAUUGAUGGCAGCAUUCGCGUGAAACUGAAAGCGCAAACCACUGCUUUUAAUCAGGGCAAGGUGACUGGAAACAUGACCGAAUACAAACAGUGUAACUAUUCCCUCCGCAAGGCAAUCAAACAAGCUAAGCGUCAGUAUAGAGACAAAGUAGAAUCUCAAUUCAACGGCUCAGACACAAGAGGUAUGUGGCAGGGUCUACAGUCAAUCACGGAUUACAAAAAGAGAACCAGCACCGUCACGGACCAGGAUGUCUUGCUCCCAGGCAGACUAAAUAACUUUUUUGCCCGCUUUGAGGACAAUACAGUGCCACUGACACUGCCAGCAACUAAAACAUGCUGA